UACAGAGGUGGCAAGCGUUGUCCGGAUUGACUGGGCGUAAAGGGCGCGUAGGCGGCUUGGUAAGUCUGAUGUGAAAUCUCUGGGCUUAACUCAGAACUCGCAUCAGAAACUGCUUUGCUUGAGUAUAGGAGAGGAGAGUGGAAUUCCUGGUGUAGCGGUGGAAUGUGUAGAGAUCAGGAAGAACACCGGUGGCGAAGGCGGCUCUCUGGUCUAAUACUGACGCUGAGGCGCGAAAGCUAGGGGAG
rnacentral:rRNA from 1 species